AGAAAAAAAAACUAUCCGCACGCACGACCGUGCCUCCCGAUCCCAUCUCAACCUCCAGCCCGCCGCCGCCUCCUCUCACGUGCCGCCCCGCCUCACCGUGCGCCGCCGGCCGCCGCCGCGCGCCGCCGCCGUCGCCUACCUCGCCGGUGCGCCUACCCCUACCCCAGGUGCCCCCACACCCGCGGCCUUCCCCUGUCGGUGGCCCGCGGCCUUCCGCCGCCAGCGACGCUCGACGCCGCGGCCGUUGGUGGAUCCGCCGGGUCUCCUCCAUGCUGCUUCCACCUCGACAAUGGUUUCUCCAACCACGCCGGCUUCGCCACCAGCCACUCCUUCCCCCACCAACAGGCCGCCCUCCAAGUGGACCCCCUUCUCCGGUAAGAUCCCCUCCCAGAGCAGGACGGCAAGUACGACCCAGCCCCACCCGCGCACGCCGCCGCCCCAUCCGUCGUGGCGCCACCUUCCCCCUUCUCUUGUAGAGCAGGCGACAAGUCCAUCUGUCAUGGUACUGCCUCACCCAUCCCCUGUAGAGCAGGCAACAACAGAGCUCCUAGCCAAAUAGUUCAUGAAUUCUUUUGUGUGAGAUCAAUUUUAUUGAUUGUUUCAAAUGUAGCAGAAAGAGACCAUUACAUGGAUAUGAAUGGAGGUAAUUUUAUAAUGCAAGAUUAGAGAUGGAAUUUACUUUGCAUAGUCUGUCACAAGAUAAAGGAGGCAGUGGAUGGGAGUGAUACAACCGGAGCUGUUGCAGUACUGGCAGGUUACAGAAAGCAUGUAAGAAAAAAGUUCUUUCCUUUCUCUAAUUGACUUUGCAUUAUCCAAAAUGAUUAGCCGAUGACAUGAGGGAGAGGGGGAUAGACCCCUUUGGCUACUGCACUAAGGUUAUGCCUACAAAUGUGCUACUCAUAUUCCACUUUUAGAUGACAAGCAGCUUCAGAAUUCAGAUCCUGUUGAUUUGCAUUUCAGAUCAUCUUGCUCCAACUUGGUAGUAAACGACCAUUUUUGGUAUUCACAUAUAGCAGUUCUUUGGUUCUUCCAUUUGUACAUGGCCUUUCAAUUUUCCCAUCUGCUAACAGAAGGAAAAAGGCAGAUAGUUUGUACACUUGUUUAUUCACCUAGAUGUUCUACAGCAAAAAAAGAGCAUGAUAAACACCAUCUGUUGGUAGUCUUUCUAUUUGUCCUUAGCUAUUUGCAUUCUACUUAUGUUAGCUCAGCUAGGUCUUGAUCGUAACAAACACUUGCAAAUAUAUGUCUCUUGUGUACAAAAAUAUGUGCUCUAGAAGACAAUGGGGAUAGUGAUCACAGUAAUUUAAUCUGCUAUUUAUUGUAUAAUAUUUCUAUUCAGAAGAAGAGAUAGUUAUAUGCUUUACUGCAGUUUUAAUAUCUGAUGAGUUGAGAAAAAAAUUAUUAGUCUUCCUUUAUAGAGGUAUGUUGCCUUGCUGAGGCUGCUCUGCUUUUGCUAUAUUUGCUGCUCUUGGCUAUACUAUUGUUCCGUAUAUAUAGAAUCGGAGAAGAGAGCAGCAGCCUAUUACUACUAAUUUCGUUCAAGCUGCUACUUGCUUACUGUUACACAUCUACACAGGCAAGGCUGCUGCUUGCUGAUUGCAAUCCAUUCACGAUAUGUAGAUAUGUAUGCUUCUGCUAGGUACUUGCGAACAGGGAGACAACGAAUGGACGCUUCAGUGGUAGCCGGCCGGUGGCCACGCAUUGGCAGCCACCGCUUAGAUACAUAACUCCAGCCAGCUAUGGUUGAGAAUGGCAAGAAGAUGCUUAUUCUCCACGGUACAAAGUGCUAUUGGUGCAGUUUUGAACUCCGUGCUGACAGAUCAUUCUCACCUGAUGCACGAUCGCUAUGGAAGUGCGCCAACAAUAACAACAUCAUCAAGCCAUUUGAGUGUAGUGGUGGAACUCCCUGGAGGUCGCCGGAGAAGAGGAAGAAUGGCGAAAGGGGAAGCAAUGGGUUGCGGCGGGCGGACAGGCACGGGCGAAGAGGUGGGUCCCGACGAUGGGCGGACGGGCACGUGCGAAGAAGUGGUGGGUCCCGCGCUUACUGGACAAGUGAUGGGUCCCGCGCUUAAGUGGAUAAGUUGUGAGUCCAGCCCAUAACAGCUAAUGAGGGCAUCAGUUCAGCUUUAAGGGCCAUGUCAUGUGUGGGCUAUUUACUCGCUCAAAAGUGUCGCCCAAAAGUCAUUCUGUCGAACAACGUCGCACUCCAUCCAAUUCCCACGAAAGAUGUCGCAUAGGAGCUAUUCACCCAUAGUUGUACUGUACAGACCAAAUGUUCUGCUGUUCAUAUACAUGAACAGGUGAGUUGUUCUCACUCUAUGACCUUGUCCCAUUUAAGCUUGAGAUUCGAA